rnacentral:rRNA from 1 species
UACGGAGGGUGCAAGCGUUGUCCGGAAUCACUGGGCGUAAAGGGCGCGUAGGCGGCUCAUGAAGGCUGUGGUGAAAGUCCGGGGCCCAACCUCGGAUCGGCCGUGGCGACUCGUGGGCUGGAGCACUGUAGAGGCGGGUGGAAUUCCGGGUGUAGCGGUGGAAUGCGUAGAGAUCCGGAAGAACACCGGUGGCGAAGGCGGUCUGCUGGGCCAAGACUGACGCUGAGGCGCGACAGCGUGGGGAGCAAACAGG